rnacentral:rRNA from 1 species
ACAAGUGGAUUAAAAAUUGUAAAAAUAAAAAACAUGGCGGUUUUCUAUCAUAUUAGAGGAACAUGUGUUGAGAACGAAUUUGCACGAAGAAUUUUUCUUUUUUUUGAAAUCAUUUUACAUACCGCUGUCUGAAAGAUUUUUCUAAAGAAAAUAUCUUUAAUCCGGAGUUAAGGCAAGUAAAGGUGUAGACAAUAAAGAAGAAAGCAUGUGUUUCAGUGUAAUUUAUGGAGAAUGGAAAUUUUCAAAAAAGAAUUUAACAGUAAAUCUUGUUUAUCAAACAGGUUUGAAUUGGAAAUGGAAAGUGUACACA